AACGUAGGAGACAACCGUUAUCCGGAGUUACUGGGCGUAAAGGGCGUGUAGGCGGUUCGUUAAGUCUGGCGUGAAAGCUUUCGGCUAAACCGGGAGAGGUCGUUGGAUACUGGCAAACUAGAGGACGGUAGAGGCGUGUGGAAUUCCGGGUGUAGUGGUGAAACGCGUAGAGAUCCGGAGGAACACCAGUGGCGAAGGCGACACGCUGGGCCGUACCUGACGCUAAAGCGCGACAGCAUGGGGAGCAAACGGG
rnacentral:rRNA from 1 species